rnacentral:rRNA from 1 species
GUGGAUUAGAUACCCUGGUAGUCCACGCCGUAAACUAUGGAUGCUAGCCGUCGGCGAGCUUGCUCGUCGGUGGCGCAGCUAACGCAUUAAGCAUCCCGCCUGGGGAGUACGGCCGCAAGGUUAAAACUCAAAGGAAUUGACGGGGGCCCGCACAAGCGGUGGAGCAUGUGGUUUAAUUCGACGCAACGCGAAGAACCUUACCAGCCCUUGACAUGUCCGGACGGUUUCCAGAGAUGGAUUCCUCCCAGCAAUGGGUCGGAACACAGGUGCUGCACGGCUGUCGCCAACU